AGUCUGCUGUGCUCCUGCAAGCUGAGUGUUUGCAGGUGAAUCUACUCCAGGUACAGGAGCAGCUCCUGAGGGAAAGGGGGUGGAGGGUGAGCAUGGAGAGGGAGGGGGAGAGGGAGGGAGGGAGGGAGGGAGGGGCGGAAUCCCUGGAAUUUAAGGUUAGAGAAUAUAGUAGGGGACUGGCCUGGUAAGAUGGUAUUUGGGGGCCUCUACGGAAAACACAUCCUGCAGGUCAGACCAGCAUGGGCUCUGCGGGAGAGGGUGGAGGGUCAGUGCAUGCUCAGUGGGAGGGCUCUGAGAGGUGGCAGGACCCGGCCGUGUGGCAGUGGCCUUGGGUUUCCAAGUGGUGCUUUCUCACUUUUCUGCCCGUCAGUUUACCUGACACACCAAGUGACUGAGAUUGCUGCCUGUGAGUUACCCUAUUGCUCAUAUCUAAUCACAAAGCGCAGACAGGUGGGGAGGGCUUCCCUCUCCGGGCCUGGCACCUCUGGGUUUGGGUACUCUGGCCUCCUUCCUCUGGGAUGCUCACUCGGACUCUGCUACUGGCCAGCCUGAGCAAGUCGGCAGAGCACAGGAUCUCCAAACAGGGGUGCAUUCCCUGGCUUCAUCAGAGAGGAGGCUUGGAGCUCAGGGAACAGAGAGCAAACUGGAUGUCUAGGCCAAGCUGGAUGCCAAGGGGAAAAUAGCCCUCCUUUUGAAAGUAUUCUUGCAUUUUAACUGUCAUCACAGUUAAGCCACCACGGGCAGACCCUGGAGGCUGGAAGAGGGCAUCCAGAAUGAUGUUGGGCUGGUUUCUUAUCACAGAGCACCGGGUAGGGGGAUGAGCUAAAAAUUAUAGUUCUUGUUCCCAGCUUAGCGUGGCUAUGGGGCGGGUGGUAUCUCCUCUGUGUUCCUUCAUCUCUUUAGAGACUGAAAGAGAGGACAAGCCCUUCCCCAUGGGAAACAUUUUACUAUGCUCUAUCCUAAUCUCAUCUCAGAGCCCACUCACAGUGAAUAGAUCUCAGCUAGGAAGGGAAGCAAAUAUCCCCAGUGACGAUGAAGACCAGACAUGGAGGUUUAACUGAUCUGUGUGAGGCCACAGAACGAGAGUGUGGCCUCAACGCUCUCAAUGUUGACAGAACAGCACUCAACAUAUUGCAUUGCGACAUGUCUGCUUCUGGACUGCCUAUCCCACCAGGCCGUGAGCGCCCCAGAGGUGGGAACUAUAUCUUAGUCACCCUUGUACUUUCAAGCCUCACAAUGGGACCUGCCGAAAAAAGGGCACUCAGUAAACGUCUUGUGAACGCAUGAAUUGGUGAGUAGCAGAGAUGAGAUUUCAAGCCAGUGGGGAGAGAAGAACACCUCUCAAAAGGAAUGUUGACUCCAAGAAACAUCAAAAGAGGGAAAGAACCUUGAGAUUUUCCAAUUCCAGCUCUUCAAUCUACAGAAGCAACUGAGGUCCAGAUAGGAUAGAUCACAGGCUCAUUCCCAUAUAGCUAAUUGGAGGCAGAGCCAGGACUACCACCGGGCUAUUGUCACCACGUUAUCCCACGAGGGUCGAGGGUCGGGGAGGACAGGGAGCCUGCCCAGGGGUGCUUCACACCGGGGGAGGUGUGAUUUCAGGCCUUAAGGCACACACACGCUUGAAAAUAAAACUGUGUAAUUCAACAAACAUCUGCAGCAGCAAUGCAAUUAUCUCUGAGAUCUAAGCAUUGAUCGAUGGGAGUUUUAAUUACCAAAAUUUCUCCAUCCUCUUCCACAGAAGAAAAAAAUUUUCUGGUGUGUUUAUUUCAUGGCAAAAUAUGGUAAGAUUCUAUGGCACACAGAGGGGUAUGUUGCAUUUGGGAAAAGGGUGUUAAGCACCAUUUUUGUUGUGGCGGUUGUCUCCGCAGAUGAAAAUAUUGUUCCUUUUGAUCUCUCAGACUGAAAAGUAGAUUGCCACAUGCAUCCAAAUUUGGCUUCAAGUGGGAAUAGCUCUACCCAAAGUGGGGCCUGAGCAAGGGGAUGGGGAGGAGAGAGCCGCCUGGGGCUCUGCCCAGGGCCAGGACCCUGAAAGGAGUGGAUGAUUGGGAGGGGUGACAAAGCACAGGCACUCGAGCCUAGGGGAGACUCAGCUAGAAGGCGAGACAGCAGCCCUGAGUGGGCCCCACCUCUUCAGUGGGUGCCCAUGUGACCUUAGCCACCUCAACUACUGUCCCUGCCAUUUACUUCACAGGGCUUUUGUGAGGGUCAAAUGACAUGAGAACUUGCUUUGAGAAGCUCAAAGGGCUCUAUAAAUGUGAGGUAUUGUUAUUUCGGCAGGAGGAUGCAGAUGGGGGCUAUAGAUGGCCGCCCUGGGGUUUUAAAGGAAAAACUUGUUCAAAACCGCUCCUGAGGCAGCGAUCACCAGCUUUACACUCGCAUUGACUUCUCUUUCAGGGCAGCUGUUGGUGUACGUGUUUUGUUUCUGAUGCUGAGACCCUUCCUGAACCGGAUCUCCAUCCCUUCACUGAGCAGGGUUCACACAUAUUUAUGUUGGAGUGCAAAGGCUUCCGAUGCCCGGACACGUGUCCUCCAAUCUGAGAAGGGAACCAGGGAAGGGGCUGGAGUUGAUGCAUCUUGACUUAAGGGCUGAAGAGUUGGCAAUUUUGGAGGCCAGUGAAGAGCCACGUAGAAAAUGUCCCGCUGCCUGCCAUCAUCAGCAGCUCCUCUUGCUCCCAUCCUGCAGAGAGGGCUCCCACACAGAGAGCAGACACAGGGACCUCUUUAAAAUGAAGAUGAAAUGCACCUGGUUCUACCACCUAGUUAGAAGCAGUUAUGAAGGUUGAAGAGCUGUUAUCUGAGAUUUAUAGCCCCAAAUCUAUGAGAUAGACUCUCCUAAUUAAUAAGACAAGGAUGACUAGAAAGUUGUGAAAACUACCUGGCAGGGCUUGGAGCCUGCUGUCACCACCACGAUGAUAGCACUGUCUUUGCUGCUGAGCCUAUUAGAAUGUCAGGAUGUGCAUUCUUCUCUCCUAGUGGGAUGGCACGGUUCACCUGGCUAUUACAGAGAAGCAAGUGCAGAUCGUGACUUAAGGCUCCGGGAGGAGAGUUAAUCAGGGAAGAGCUGGUUGACAAGACUCACUCAGUGCAUGACUUGAGAGCACCAAGAGGGGGAAAGGGAGAAGAAAGAACCUCUUCCAAAGGCAGCAUCCACCCCCUUGACAAAGGGCCAUUUCCCCCAGCCCGGGGUGCUUUCUGACUUCCUUUGUUCCCCGAUGAGCAUUUUCUUCCUUGUCCCCAGCCUUCACAUAAGUUCAAUUCAACAUCCUCUCUCUCUUCUCCCAAUGUCCUCUCCUUAAUUUUGCUGCAUCCUCCAAUGUGAAUGUUUGCCUCCUGGUCUGGGAUCUGUCUUAUUCCCUUUAUCUCACCUGAAAAAACUCUCCCCUUUAAUCUCUGCUCAUUCAAGUCCUGCCCAUCCUUCAAAGUAUGGCCAAGCUCACCUCUUCCAGAAAGCCCCACCCUGUGGUGUUAUCUCCAUCCUGAAUCACAGCAGCACUUACUGUGAGAUAACUAUCAGGUUACAUCUAUCAGAGUUCAAUGCACUCUCCCCAAAUGAAGUGGACACUUGUUGGCAGUAAGAAGAGAAGCUUUUUGCACCAAGUGGUGCAUUCAAUGCAAUGCAAGGAGACUGUGACGAUACUGAAAUGAGUAUUACCCGGCCCCAGGAGAUGAACACCGUCCUUGCUUGAUGCCAGUUCAUAAAGAGAGCUCUUGUUUAUUGAGAGCUUAUGAGUGCUGAGGAAUUCACAUAAAUCAUCUCAUCUAAAUUUUCCAACAAUCAUGAGAUGGUUUCUCUUAUUUCCUCCUUUUACGCAUGAAGAAACUGGGGCUCAGGAGGUUAGAUGACUUUCUCAGAGUCACACAGAUAGUACAGGGCUGACCCAGAAUUCAAGCCCAGGUCUGGCAGACUCCAGCACCCGCCCUUUGCCUCCACGACCAAGUACAAGCAGCAGGCUGGCACUGGCCUUUCCCUGCUAUGACUGCCGAGCUGGGUUACACCUGCUGCUGGUCCCCAGCACCAGGCACACGACGUAACUGUGAGUCCUCCGAGUAUGUGAGGGAGCUGGCACUCACCUUCUGCCUGAAGCAAAGGAGCUGUGCUCUUCCGUUUCAGUGUGAAAAAGCCUCAGAAGAUGCCCAGCUUAGAAGGACACAAGAGACAGUCUGUGGACAACAUCUCCACUUCCUGGCGUCCUCAGCACUGUUGCUAGUGAAGCUACUCUGCCCAAGGUCUCCAGAGAGCUUCUGAAAGAAGUCAGGACUCAUGCAUGCAGAUGAAUACGCCUCGUGGGUAUUCACCAGGUCCUCUUGGGAAGCCAGCUCUGUGUCCCAGGCACACCGUCUGUGUGCAAGAGAAGGGGAGCACCUGAGUUUGGGAACUGCUUUCGUACCAGCUUAUAGGCCACCCCAAGAACCGGCCUCCUGGCUUCCUAGUCACAGACCGCCUGCAGGGUUGACUUAUGCAUCCUUUUGCAGGAGACAGGCUCACUUCUCUCCUGUGACUAACAUGGAAUUACGGGUUAAGGAGGGAAGUUGUACUCACCUGUUGAUUCAUUUAUUCACUCACUUGCUCACUCAUCAAUCAUUUCUUCAACAAUGAAACCCUUACUAGACAAAUACUGACUCCCUGCUCCAGAAUAACUAUCUGUUCGGUGCUAGGACUGUCAAAUGAGUAAGCGUUUCUUCCCACAGGCGUUCAGGGUCUAUUUCUGCACUUUACAGACAGGCAAGACAGAAGUGAUCAGAAGCGGCCACCAACCAUGGAGUUCAGAAACACGGCACAGUUCUGGAAGAGGCGAAAGGCGGCUCUUCCAUCCAUGCUGGUCAAGAGGAAAUUCAACACACCUCACAGCCAUUGAAUCUGACCAGGCGUGUAAUACAUCCCAUCGUCUUGUCAGUUAGCAGCUGUGGGACCUUGAAGGCUUCUUAAAUUCCCCAAGUCUAGACUUUCUUAUCUUUAAAAUGCAGCUGAAAACAAUGCCUGUCUCAUGGAGGUGUAAGGGUUAAAUGGAAUCAUGUAGCAAGCAUUCAGCACAUGUCAAGUCCAGGUCAAGGCCAACAUGCAGGGGCAGGGAGAGGUGUAACCUCUUUCAGUUUGGAGCCAUGCAGGACCCUGCCAUUUGCAGCCCUUUGGGGUAAGACUGUAGCCCCCAAACAUCCUGCUGCCCCAGAGCAGUGGCCCAGCAGGUGCACUGAGAGCUCUGGUGCACCUGGCAUGCCCCGACUCCUCACACAGCAGCAACAGGGACAGUGACAGGGACCUGAGAUGGGGUGGCCCACCUGGCUGGCAGCUGGCACUGGGCACAUUGCCCAGAAGUUGGGGAGUUCUCAGGUAGGGGCAGAGGUGGGUGUUUGAGGGAGCAGUUAGCAGCACUGUCUGCUGUGGCAGGGGUCUCCUGGGUAAGGUCAGAGGGAUUCGAGGAGGCCCAGGGAUCACCCCAGGGUGGGGUGGGACGCUGCUCAAGUCACAAAGCAAAGUUGCAGGGUGUAGGGGAGGGGAUGGGACUGUUAGUCUAAUUGUGACUCAUCUCUCCUUAUUUUUCUCCUUAUCUCUUGUAUUUAUUUUUUUCAAUCCUCCCAAGUUACUGGGCCUUGAGGACACUCCUAGUGUGUGUGUGUGUGUGUGUGUGUGUGUAUGUGUGUGUGUGUGUGUAUUUCUAUAUAUAUAAUUUUUCUUUUUUUUGAGACAGAGUUUCGCUCUUGUUGCUCAGGUGGAAGUGCAAUGGUGCGAUCUCAACUCACUGCAACCUGCAUCUCCUGGGUUCAAGCGAUUCUCCUGCCUCAGCCUCCCGAGCAGCUAGGAUUACAGGUGGCUGCCACCAUGCCCAGUUAAUUUUUGUAAUUUUAGUAGAGAUGGCGUUUCACC
rnacentral:lncRNA from 1 species